rnacentral:misc_RNA from 1 species
GCAAACUUGGUCAUUUAGAGGAAGUAAAAGUCGUAACAAGGUUUCCGUAGGUGAACCUGCGGAAGGAUCAUUCACAAUAAGUGUUUAUGGCACUUUCAAAUCCAUACCCACCUUGUGUGCAAUGUAAGAGCCCUUUCAACCCUCUUUCUCUCCCCUCUCCUCUCUCUCCGGAGGGAGGGGGAAGAGGAAGAACGGGAGGACUGGGCUUCCAUUUUCUUCUCACUCGUCUUCAAUUGCAAGUCUAACAUUCAGAGUAAUCAAAAAACUCGAAUACAACUUUCAACAACGGAUCUCUUGGCUCUCGCAUCGAUGAAGAACGCAGC